rnacentral:misc_RNA from 1 species
GAUGAAGAACGUAGUGAAAUGCGAUACUUGGUGUGAAUUGCAGAAUCCCGUGAACCAUCGAGUCUUUGAACGCAAGUUGCGCCCGAAGCCAUUAGGCCGAGGGCACGCCUGCCUGGGCGUCACACGUCGUUGCCCCCCCAUCUACUCCUUCGGGAUUGCGGGGGGCGGAUGAUGGCCUCCCGUGCACCUUGUCGCGCGGUUGGCAUAAAUGCCAAGUCCUCGGCGACGCACGCCACGACAAUCGGUGGUUGCGAAACCUCGGUUGCCCGUCGUGUGCGGUCGUCGCGCAUCGAGGGCUCGAAAAAAUUGUCGGGCUCCGGCUCGGCUUUCAACGCGACCCCAGGUCAGGCGGGGUUACCCGCUGAAUUUAAGCAUAUCAAUAACGGAGGA